ACCCUAAUCUUAAAAUUUCAGAAUUGCCGAAGCAGACGUGACAGCAACACUUCCGAAAUUAGCCUUUCAGUUGAAUCUGCGUUAGAAUGCUUCGACUUCCUUAAUGCUGAAUGUGAUGAUGAUUUUGAAGAUGAUAAUCAGAUGCAUGUGAGGAAAAGAAGAAAAAAGAAGCAGCAGCUGUGUUUGCAGGUCCAUCAUUACCAGACACAAGUCAGCCUCUGGUCACUGGUACACCUCAGUUGGAUUCUUUCCUCUACACUCAUCUGAAACAUGCUCUUCAGUUGUUGCAACAUCUUGGAUCCUUUGGGCCCCUCAGGAGUAAGGAACGACACUCACUACAGCUCCUGGAGAAUGAAGGGCAACUUGUAGCAAGAGUUUUAGCUCAUAGACACAACUUUGACAGUCUUAAACCACAGCAUAUUAUCACAGUUCCACAUGUACAGGUUCUCUGGGACUCUGUGUCUGGAGGAGAUGACUGGUGCAUCCAGGACAAGCAGUUGUAAAUGGCUUACAGCAGCUCGUGUCAACUUUAGUGGAUCCGACAGUACCAGGUUUAGCAAGAAGAGUGCUGGAAGACAUUGUAAGAUCAAUGACUGAUAGUGAAGAAUAUGAUGGAAAUUCAGUAGUGACUGUUGGCCACUUCCUUCAACAUCUGCAUCGGCCUCUUCAACACACUGUGCCAGCAACAGCACACAAUCUUGCAAUUGCUGACCUUCUGCUGUCCUGCAAACACAGCAAAAGUGGAAGCUGGUCU